UGGGUUUGUACUAAGUCAAACUUGUUUAAGUUUGACUAACUUUACAAAAAAUGCUAAUAUCUACACCAUUAAAUAUAUGUUAUAAUGACACUGAUUAAGCUAAUUUGAUGUUGUAGAUAUUGGAAAGUUUUCUAUUAACUUGGUCAGAUGUAAAGAAGUUUGACUUAAGACAAACCUAA
rfam:Triticum urartu cultivar G1812 contig798010, whole genome shotgun sequence.